AUUAGAAACAUGACCAAACGUGUUUUUUUCUUCAUCAGGUCCUGGCUUAACAGUGGUUCCCUGAAAAGCAUCAGUUAACUUUUGCAAGGUUCUACUUGCCAAUUCUGGUUCCCAGUGCAAAGAAGGCCAUUUACAUGGAUGACGAUGUAAUUGUACAAGGUGCCAAAGAAUGAGUUGUUGGUCUGGGUUCGGGGCUGUAAUGGGCUGUCUGUGGUCUACUAUAAACGUCCACCAUUUGAUAGACGUGAGAGGGACAGACUCUCAGGACCAGUGCAGGUGUUCGUCUCACUUUAUCCAUUUCAGGUGAUAUACUUGCCUUAUACAAUACCCCACUGAAGCCAGGACAUGCUGCUGCAUUUUCAGAAGACUGUGACUCAGCUUCUACUAAAGUCAUGAUCCGUGGAGCAGGGAACCAGGUAAGGUACUGCAAAUCUUGCUCCUUAGGAAAGCUUAAUGAGGUUUUCAAUUCAGGGCUGCAUCUUACAUUAACCAGUCACUGCUCUCCAAACCUCACACCUACUUUUCUAGACUCU
rnacentral:lncRNA from 1 species